rnacentral:lncRNA from 1 species
AGUGGAUCAACUCAAUACAAGCAGACGAAAACGGAGGCCAAAGUUCAUGCUGUGCGACCGCAUAGCAUAAAAGUCGUACGGCCGCACGACCCUGCCAGAACAUAAUUGAGGCAGCUUCAACUCCACCAUGUGACCGUAAGGAAAACCACCAUGCGGCCGCAUGGGUCACUUUCGAGGAGAAAUUUUCUUUUUUUUUUUCCACGAAUUUCCUUAUUUUGUUAGAAUUUGAUAUCAAUUAGACUUCUUUCCAUAUUCUGAAGAUUUUAGCUAGGAUUUUAGUUUUAGUAUAAAUACUCUCUCCAUUACAUUGUAAAAGGACUUUUGGCAAUUAUUAUUGAAUUCAAGAGAGGCUUUUGCUUUCUUCCAAUUUGUUCUUCUUUGAACAAUAAUUUAAAACUUAUCAAGGAUAAUUCCUUGUGGCAUUCAACACCGGAUCGUGG